rnacentral:tRNA from 1 species
GGAGGGAUGGCCGAGUGGUUUAAGGCGGCGGUCUUGAAAACCGCUGUGUCUCUUACGGGCACCGGGGGUUCGAAUCCCUCUCCCUCCG